rnacentral:rRNA from 1 species
UACGGAGGGUGCAAGCGUUAUCCGGAUUCACUGGGUUUAAAGGGUGCGUAGGCGGGCAGGUAAGUCCGUGGUGAAAUCUCUGAGCUUAACUCAGAAACUGCCAUGAAUACUAUUUGUCUUGAAUAUUGUGGAGGUAAGCGGAAUAUGUCAUGUAGCGGUGAAAUGCUUAGAUAUGACAUAGAACACCAAAUUGCGAAGGCAGCUUACUACACAGUUAUUGACGCUGAGGCGCGAAAGCUAGGGGAGCAAACGGG